UGUGGUCAAUGACUGGGGUGAAGUCGUAACAAGGUAGUUGUAGGUGAACCUGCAGAAGGAUCA
rnacentral:rRNA from 1 species